rnacentral:rRNA from 1 species
CGCUGGCGGCGUGCUUAACACAUGCAAGUCGAACGAAAGGACGGGAAGAGCUUGCNCUUUCCGGAAUUGAGUGGCAAACGGGUGAGUAACACGUAAACAACCUGCCUUCAGGAUGGGGACAACAGACGGAAACGACUGCUAAUACCGAAUAAGUUCCAAGAGCCGCAUGGCCCAUGGAAGAAAAGGUGGCCUCUACCUGUAAGCUAUCGCCUGAAGAGGGGUUUGCGUCUGAUUAGCCAGUUGGUGGGGUAACGGCCUACCAAAGCGACGAUCAGUAGCCGACCUGAGAGGGUGACCGGCCACAUUGGGACUGAGACACGGCCCAAACUCCUACGGGAGGCAGCAGUGGGGAAUAUUGCACAAUGGGGGAAACCCUGAUGCAGCGACGCCGCGUGAGGGAAGACGGUCCUCUGGAUUGUAAACCUCUGUCUUCGGGGACGAAACGAGACGGUACCUGAGGAGGAAGCCACGGCUAACUACGUG